UACGUAGGUCCCGAGCGUUGUCCGGAUUUAUUGGGCGUAAAGCGAGCGCAGGUGGUUUAUUAAGUCUGGUGUAAAAGGCAGUGGCUCAACCAUUGUAUGCAUUGGAAACUGGUAGACUUGAGUGCAAGAGAGGAGAGUGGAAUUCCAUGUGUAGCGGUGAAAUGCGUAGAUAUAUGGAGGAACACCGGUGGCGAAAGCGGCUCUCUGGCCUGUAACUGACACUGAGGCUCGAAAGCGUGGUGAGCAAACAGG
rnacentral:rRNA from 1 species